rnacentral:rRNA from 1 species
UACGUAGGGCGCAAGCGUUGUCCGGAUUUAUUGGGCGUAAAGAGCGUGUAGGCGGCCUGGAAGGUCAGCUGUGAAAACUCGAGGCUCAACCUCGAGACGUCGGUUGAAACCACCUGGCUAGAGUCCGGAAGAGGAGUGUGGAAUUCCUGGUGUAGCGGUGGAAUGCGCAGAUAUCAGGAGGAACACCAAUAGCGAAGGCAGCUCGCUGGGACGGUAUUGACGCUAAGGCGCGAAAGCGUGGGGAGCAAACAGG